rnacentral:ribozyme from 1 species
UACAUUAAAUAAAAAGAAAUAAAUUAUGCGGAUGGCAAAUAUUGAAAAGAUAAACAAUAGAAACCUUUGUUUAUGAUUUUCAUGUUAUACAUUUUCACUUUCUUUUUUGUUUUUUUUCUUAUUAUUGUACGUAGUGCUAAUUUUUAAAUUA